rnacentral:lncRNA from 1 species
UCGCAGGGCCGCUGCCCUUACCUACGAGGUCGGUGGGGCCAGUCCCCAGAUUUUCUCCCCUGAUUGUGACCUUCGUCCAUGGUAUCCCUUCAUUUGGAGAGAUGCCGGUCACAAGGGGGGGUUGUCGUGAUCGAGACAUUGUGCUUUGUGGAGCAAACUGGUGAUCCUGUUAGAGAAGUAACCUGAUGAGUUGUCAAACAGACCAGAUUCCUGGUGUCUGGAUUUGUAAGAGUCUAGU